AUUGAACGCUGGCGGCAGGCCUAACACAUGCAAGUCGAACGAGUGGCGGACGGGUGAAUAAUGUCUGGGAAACUGCCUGAUGGAGGGGGAUCACUACUGGAAACGGUAGCUAAUACCGCAUACCAUCGGAUGUGCCCAGAUGGGCUUAGCUAGUAGGUGGGGUAACGGCUAACCUAGGCGACGAUCCAUAGCUGUUCUGCGAGGAUUACCAGCCACACUGGAACGGAGGCACGGUCCAGACGCCGACGGGAGGCAGCAGGGGGGAAUAUUGCACAAUGGGCGCAAGCCUGAUGCAGCCAUGCUGCGUGUAUGAAGAAGGCAUUCGGGUUGUAAAGUACUUUCAGCGGGGAGGCGUUACCCGAAGAAGAAGCACCGGCUAACUCCGUGCCAGCAGCCGCGGUAAUUC
rnacentral:rRNA from 1 species